GUGUUUUUUUAAUAUUUAAAAUUUCAGUUAUGGAGUUUUAAUUUUUUCACAAAAAAACAACAACCAUAAGAUGCUAUAUAAAAUAUAGUAUUCAUUAACUUUCUUUAUAUAAAAAAUGUAAAUGUCAAUUAUUUACAAAAUUGGGCUAUACCAUAAACUUCCUAAAUUAUUUACACAUUACAUUAAAUCUGGCCCAUAUAAAAAUUGUAAUCAAUGUCCAUUAGCCCAACUAAUUACUCCGGGAAAGGGUUUGUUAUCUAACAUGCUAAUAAAAAACUAAAACAAUUUUUUUUUUUGCUUCUUUUUUCUCGAUCUGUCGGUGCCUCUCUCUCUUUCUUAACUCUUUGUCUUCUUCGUGUUCUUCAAUCCUUCAAACACCUAACUCAAAUACAGAAUCUGAACUACUUUGAUUUCAUGUUCACUCUCAAUCCAGAUUAAAUACAAUCGAUCUAUUGUAUUACAGGUUGAUGCAACAUAUAAAAUGGAGCUUUCUUUGAAACAUCAUCUCCACCAUGUUUCAUCUCCGCCAUGUAACUGAUUCUGACAAUAAGCAGAUAAGUAUAAAUUUUUUAUGUUUGUUUGUUCUGUAAAAUCUCAUUUAUUAUCCUUCUUUCUCAAUUCAUUGUGUUUGUUUGUUCUGUAAAAUGUUUGAGAAUAAUUUAUAUGUUUUAUUUGAUUUAUGAGGAAAACGAAGAUUCAAUCCUGAAUUCUAACAAUUCCCUAUACGCAUUUGUCGUAGAGAACAAAGACCAGACUCGAGAUGACCAAUUCCAUAUACGCAUUUGUCGACCAACUGGAACAAAACAAUGGACGCACUCAAGAAUAUCUCUUCCAUAGCUGGUGGUUUGUUUCCAGGAAUGAAGCAGUUUCAGAGUGAGACGCCAUUCAUCUCGGAACAGUUUGAGAUCCUUAAUAAGACAUAUUUUUCUUUCGUUUGACAUGUUUGCUGUGAGACCUCGAUGCUAAAGUCUUUGAAUGUAGUCUCAGUAUAUAUAGAUGGGUGAUGAAAUAUAGGUUAAGCUGUAUUUAUGGCGAGGAUAUAUGUAUCAUCGAUAUUUUUUCCUUUCUGUUUUUGACGAAAUCAUAUAUAUUGUAAUAUAUGUUAUUCAAACUUAGAUACUAUUGAUCUUGUUCA